ensembl:lncRNA
AUGUUUGUACCAUGUUUUGAGCUGCUAACAUGUUCUGCUGCUAUGUUGUGUUGCUACUGUGUUUUUGUCAUGUGUUGUUGUCUUAGGUCUCUCUUUAUGUUGUGUUGUCUCUCUUGUCGUGAUGUGGGUUUGUCCAAAAUAUUUAUUUUUUAUUCUAGUCGUCACUUACUGUGUUUGAACACUAGAGGGCACUGUGUUGCUGUGUGGUUUCAGCCCUCACCCCUCCAAUCUGUCUGUCUGUCACACCAGGGGCUGCCAGGACUAAGAGGUGUACAGGGCCUCCCAGGACCUAUUGGGCCCGCUGGAAAUCCAGGCACACCUGUGAGUUUGCCAACACUGUCAACCACACAAACAAAAACACAUACAUGCACGAUGCACCCACACACACACACACACACACACAUACACACACACACACACAAAGCUCCACUUUCCAAAGCACGUGUCUCAUUGAUGUCUCAUAAGCCUAAUUGUUGUGUUUCAGGGCAAAGCAGGAGAAGAUGGAAAACCAGGUGCUGCUGGGAAAAUGGGUGAGGAUGGCGUACCAGGGGAAGAUGGCAGAAAGGUCCGUGUUGGUUACGGCAACAUUCACAUAACUUUAUUCAUGGUCUAUGGUCCACUGACCUGUAAACAUCACGGUUUCCUCCCAUUGCUGUGCUGUUUAUGAUCAUUUGGAGUUAAUGUGAGUGUCUUUGCAGUGUCACUGUUGUCUUUAGUUGUGUAAUGAAAAUUAUGUUUCUCUACCUCACAGGGUGACAAAGGAGAGGCUGGGGUUUCUGGAAGAGACGUUAGUAACUUGUUACCCUGUAUCUUUAUCUCUCCCCUCUCGCUCUCUUUCUAUGUUUGUACAAUGUCCUUUCUUUCCUUCCCUGCUGUCUCUCUCUUCCUCUCGCUCCCUCUUUGCCUCCGUCUUCAUCGAUCCUGCUCUCCUCGGCUCCUGAGCAUCUCUCGAUUAUCCCUGUUCCGUUUCUUUCUCGCCAUCAAUCCUCCUCCUAGUGUGUUUUUAUUAAGCGUACUCUCCUGUGACAUUGAUAUUUCUAUCACACCCUACCUUCACGGUGGAAUCAAUAGCGCUCUAAGCAGCAGCUGUAUAAAUGCAACGGUGGGUAAUGAUCAAGCUCUGCCUUUGAGGGCCAGCCCCUUCUGAGAGGGGAUCCGCACGGGCAUAGAAUGUCAAGGCUUUGGUUUCAUGUCCAAAUUCAUAGAAAUGAUCUAGGACAUCUGCCUCCUUUCUAGUUCAGGCCAGACCCCUUAGGAAUAGAAUAGAGUGUCCGUGCUGGUCUGAAGUUGUCAAGUGUGUGUGUGUGUGUGUGUGUGUUUCAGGGCCGUGAUGGGCUGAAGGGGGACCGGGGCCUUGGCGGGCCUGCAGGGCCAACUGGUCUAUCUGGGCCCCAAGGGGUCCCUGGCACCAUCGGACCUCCAGGACAGGUACAGAACAGUCAUAUGCCUCUGCUUCCUAGAAUGUGUGUAUGUGUCACUUGGUGCUCUGAUUAUACAUUUAUCUCUCUCCCCUCUCUUCUCUCUCAGGUGGUCUAUGCGAAGGGAGCUCCAACACCAUCUAUCCCUGGCCCUCAGGGGCCUCCAGGAAGCCCAGUAAGUUACUAUGUUGGAUAUGAGCCGUGCAGUAUAGCAGUAUAGCAUAGCCUGAUGUAGCAGUACUGUGUGCUUGUCUUAAGUACAUUUCUAAUGCACUCUGUUUCUGAUGCCCAUCUCUCUCUGUCUCUCAGGGUGUGCCUGGAAUCCCAGGGACCGCAGGAGCUAGAGUAAGGCAUUUCCAUAGAGAUCAUUUACUAUUAUUUAUUUCUAUGGUCAGUCAGUCUGCUCUAGCUCUCUCCAUCCAUCUGUCCUUCGGUCUGAUCUCUGACCCAUUCACUCUUGUAUUUCAGGGGGAGAGAGGAGCAGUGGGCAGUAAAGGUGAAAGGGUAAGUGUGUGUGUGUGUCUGAAAUAUGAAUGUGCACACAUGCUGUUUCCUGAGUGUGUGUAUGGGUGUAUGUGUUAGUGCAUCUUUAGUAUUACUGAUGUGAGAUGUUAUUGACAGGGUGACCCAGGAGAGGACGGGCAACCGGGCAGGCCUGGAACAGCAGUGGUAAGAAAAUACGCAUUCAAGAAAGGAGAAUAACCCCAGCAUGUGACUGAUAAAGGCAUGACCAUGUACUGUAUUCACUCCUCCUUGACACUGUUUGUGCCUCUCUCCCAUCAGGAUGUGCAGAAGGCCCUCUCUAACCUUGGCAUUGAGGUA